rnacentral:ncRNA from 1 species
AUAAAGUUUAAUUUUGGUUUAAAGGUUUAUUUUAUUUUUUAUUUACAUGUAAAUUUUAGUGGGGAUUAAAAUUUAAUUUAAAUAAUUAUUUUUAUUUUUUUUAUUCGCAGUAUGGGGUUUUAUUAAAUUUAAGAAAUUAAGAAUUAUAAAUUAAUUUUAGUAUUAACAAAAUUUGUGCCAGCAGUUGCGGUUAUACAAGAAAUAUAAGUAAAUUUUAUUGAUUAUUAAUUAGAUGAUUUUAUUUUAUUUAAAAUUAAAUUUUUAAGGUGAAAUUUUAAAUUUAUAAUAUUUAUAAUAAAAAAUAUUGAUAUUAAGAAAUUUUAUUUAUAAACUAGGAUUAGAUACCCUAUUAUUUAAAAUUUAAAUUUAUUAUCAAAGUAGUAUUAGUUAAGUUCUUUAAAUUUAAAAAAUUUGGCGGUAUUUUAGUCUUUUCAGAGGAACCUGUUCUGUAAUUGAUAGUCCACGAUAAAUCGUAUUUUAUUUAAUUAAUUUGUAUAUCGUCGUUAUUAAAUAUUUUAUAAGAAUAAUAAUAUUUAAGAAUUUACAUUAAAAAAUAUUUCAGAUCAAGGUGCAGUAUAUAAUAAAAUAGAAAUGGGUUACAAUAAAUUUAUUUAAAAUGAAUUUUUAUAUGUAAAUGUAUUUUGAAGGAGGAUUUGAAAGUAAUAAUAUUUAUAAAAAUUUUAUGAUUAUAGCUCUAAAAUGUGUACAUAUCGCCCGUCGCUCUUACAUUAAAAUAAGAUAAGUCGUAACAAAGUAGAUGUACUGGAAAGUGUAUCUAGAAUUUC